rnacentral:rRNA from 1 species
AUGAGGAUCUACUCCCAGACCACUACCCUUGCGGGAAUAGAUGUAAAUGUGCAUGAAACCAAUGGAAACAUUUGGAGGUUGACUGGAAUAUACGGAAAGCCGAGCUGGGAGCAUAAGGAUCAUACUUUUCAGUACAUCCGAGAUCUGCAUGCACACUCUAGGCUACCGUGGGUAAUCAUUGGUGACUUCAACGAGAUCUUGCUGUCUUCUAAAAAGGAAGGAGGGGUUGCAUGGCACCAAUCCCGUCUGGCAGCGUUUCAAGAUGCUUUGUCUGAAUGCUCUCUAGAGGAUAUGGGAUAUGUUGGUGAUAAGUUCACUUGGUUUAGAGGUGGACUGAAGGAAUGGUUAGACAGGGUUGUUACAAAUGCUGAGUGGAUGGGCAUGCACCCGUAUGCAGGCCUAUGUAAUCUAGAGAUGGGGAAAUCUGAUCACCGACCCCUCCUACUAGAUACAGAAUACCUUGCGGGAGUGGCAGAGAAUAGGCCUAAGUACAAACGAUGUUUUGAGGCUAGAUGGCUAGCAGAAGAAACUGUUGAAGAGGUGGUAAGGACGGCCUGGCAGAAAGCAAUUCACCAAGGCUUACACCCAACUAUGAAAGGAAAGAUUGAUUCGGUUCACCUUGACAUGCAUGAAUGGGACAGAAAGACGCUGAAAGGGCCACGAGCCCGACUUAAUAAAGCUCAAAAACAGCUAGAGAAACUCAUGCAGGCACCUUAUACAUAG